rnacentral:rRNA from 1 species
GACGAACGCUGGCGGCGUGCUUAAUACAUGCAAGUCGAACGAAAAGGCCCUGUGUUUGUGGGGUGCUCGAGUGGCGAACGGGUGAGAAACACGUGAGUAACCUGUCCUUGACUUUGGGAUAACUUAAGGAAACUCGAAUUCAUACCGGGUAGGAGCUCCUUCUGCAUUGUUUGGAAUGGAAAGUGUCGGCGGUUGGGCAUGGACUCGCGGCUUAUCAUCUUGUUGGUGGGGUAGUGGCUUACCAAGGCCUGGACGGGUAGCCGGCCUGGGAGGGUGACCGGCCACAUAGGGACUGAGAUACGGCCGAGACUGAUACGGGAGGCAGGAGUGGGGAAUGUAGCAAGAUGGGCGGCAGCAUGAUGGAGGAACGCCGGGUGCGGGAUGACUGCCUUCGGGUUGUAAACCGCGUUCGCCUGGGACGAAGCGUAAGUGACGGUAAUGAGUAAAGAAGCACCGGCUAACUACGUG